CUUUUCACCUGUUCUUCUCCACAACCAAAGCUACCCCAAGGUUUUCCCUGAUUCGCUGAAUCCUCCUAAUGCCGGCGAUUCCUUUGCCGGAAUAUCGUCGUUAUCUUCCUGUUAUCUGUUUUCCCGGACCAGGGACUUGAUUGCUAUGUUUUAGAAAGUUCUAGGAUGUUCUUCAUAAAAUUUCCAGAACUUUCUUUAUUUCAAAUCAGUGAACGUUUACAAGUUUUAUGUUGUGCUCUUGAAUUAAAAGUCUUGAUUUGUGGUCUAGGUUAAAUAUUAGGGAAUGAAUGAUUUACUUGUACCUUGUGUUGUGUGCAUGUGUUAUAGCUGAAAAGUAAUUAUAGGAUGUAUGUUUUAAGUGGAGAAGUGUGAC
rnacentral:lncRNA from 1 species